CCGUCGAUAGCUCAGUUGGUAGAGCGGUGGACUGUAGAAGUUUGGUGCUAUGGACAUCCAUAGGUCGCUGGUUCGAAUCCGGCUCGACGGA
rnacentral:tRNA from 1 species